GGAAUUUAAGUUUCAAAGGAAUUUGAUGUACUUUUAUAAGAACAAUUGGACUAAACAAAAUCUUGCGUUUUUUUUUUGGGAUUUUGGAUCUAUUCAAAUACACUUCCUGGUUUUAAAGUUCUCAUACAAUGGUAUGCAAUAUAUGAUUGAUUGAAGUGGGAGUCUCUUGAUUUUUUUUAAUAUAUAUAUAUAUUUUUUGUGUUUGCG
rnacentral:lncRNA from 1 species